rnacentral:rRNA from 1 species
UCAGCCUACGGGACGCAGCAGUGAGGAAUAUUGGUCAAUGGGCGCGAGCCUGAACCAGCCAAGUCGCGUGAGGGAUGACGGUCCUACGGAUUGUAAACCUCUUUUGCCGGGGAGCAAGCGUGCGUUCGUGAACGCGCGUCGAGAGUACCCGGAGAAAAAGCAUCGGCUAACUCCGUGCCAGCAGCCGCGGUAAUACGGAGGAUGCGAGCGUUAUCCGGAUUUAUUGGGUUUAAAGGGUGCGCAGGCGGCGAGUUAAGUCAGCGGUAAAAUUUCGGGGCUCAACCCCGACGAGCCGUUGAAACUGG